ACUCCUACGGGAGGCAGCAGUGGGGAAUCUUAGACAAUGGGCGCAAGCCUGAUCUAGCCAUGCCGCGUGAGUGAUGAAGGCCUUAGGGUCGUAAAGCUCUUUCGCCAGGGAUGAUAAUGACAGUACCUGGUAAAGAAACCCCGGCUAACUCCGUGCCAGCAGCCGCGGUAAUACGGAGGGGUUAGCGUUGUUCGGAAUUACUGGGCGUAAAGCGCGCGUAGGCGGAUUAGUCAGUUAGAGGUGAAAUCCCAGGGCUCAACCCUGGAACUGCCUUUAAUACUGCUAGUCUUGAGUUCGAGAGAGGUGAGUGGGAAUUCCGAGUGUAGAGGUGAAAUUCGUAGAUAUUCGGAGGAACACCAGUGGCGAAGGCGGCUCACUGGCUCGAUACUGACGCUGAGGUGCGAAAGUGUGGGGAGCAAACAGGAUUAGAUACCCUGGUAGCGACUGA
rnacentral:rRNA from 1 species